rnacentral:rRNA from 1 species
GGGGGGAGCAAGCGUUGUUCGGAUUUACUGGGCGUAAAGGGCGCGUAGGCGGCCACCGCAAGUCGACUGUGAAAUCUCCGGGCUUAACCCGGAAAGGUCAGCCGAUACUGCGGGGCUAGAGUGCAGAAGGGGCAACUGGAAUUCUCGGUGUAGCGGUGAAAUGCGUAGAUAUCGAGAGGAACACCUGCGGCGAAGGCGGGUUGCUGGGCUGACACUGACGCUGAAGCGCGAAAGCUAGGGGAGCGAACGGGAUUAGAUACCCCGGUAGUCCUAGCCUUAAACGAUGAAUGCUUGGUGUCUGGGGUUUUAUAGUCCCCGGGUGCCGUCGCUAACGCUUUAAGCAUUCCGCCUGGGGAGUACGGUCGCAAGACUG